rnacentral:rRNA from 1 species
GACGAACGCUGGCGGCGUGCUUAACACAUGCAUGUCGAACGGAAAGGCCCUGCUUUUGUGGGGUGCUCGAGUGGCGAACGGGUGAGUAACACGUGAGUAACCUGCCCUUGACUUUGGGAUAACUUCAGGAAACUGGGGCUAAUACCGGAUAGGAGCUCCUGCUGCAUGGUGGGGGUUGGAAAGUUUCGGCGGUUGGGGAUGGGCUCGCGGCUUAUCAGCUUGUUGGUGGGGUAGUGGCUUACCAAGGCUUUGACGGGUAGCCGGCCUGAGAGGGUGACCGGCCACAUUGGGACUGAGAUACGGCCCAGACUCCUACGGGAGGCAGCAGUGGGGAAUAUUGCACAAUGGGCGGAAGCCUGAUGCAGCAACGCCGCGUGCGGGAUGACGGCCUUCGGGUUGUAAACCGCUUUCGCCUGUGACGAAGCGUGAGUGACGGUAAUGGGUAAAGAAGCACCGGCUAACUACGUG